CUCAGGGAAGUGUUGAAAGUGCUCAUGAGGACAUAUUGCAAUGUAAGUCAGCAUAUUGGCACAUUCCACGAGUAGAUGCGCUGGAAUCUUGUCUGGUUCGGCAACUUGAUAUGAAGAGUCUGGAUAUGAUCCAUUUUUGCUUUCUGAGUCGUGAAAAAAGGUUUGAGUCGCAAAAGCUUAUUUGUUUUUCAAACAAUGCAGAGGACUCUACAUGGUUAGAGUGUUGGGGUCUAUAUGUCUAUCCGUGGGAGUUUCCAGAGCACGGUCAGAGGCCAAGUGAUUCCAAUCCAAACUCAUCCGAGCAUGUUUUGUGCAUAGCAGUCACAGUGGAAGAGGAAAGAGACAUCCAGAAAGUCUUGGAAGCAUAACACUUGAUUAAGAUUUGUGAGUGGAGUAGUUCAGUCUGUAUAGUUUAACAGCCAGAAUUAAAUUUUUAAGGAGAUUAGAAAUGUGUCUAAAUAAUAAAGCGUAAGAAUACAUUCUAAAAAGAAA